GCUACAGGCUUAACACAUGCAAGUCGAGGGGCAUCAGGAAGAAAGCUUGCUUUCUUUGCUGGCGACCGGCGCACGGGUGAGUAACACGUAUCCAACCUGCCCUUUACUCGGGGAUAGCCUUUCGAAAGAAAGAUUAAUACCCGAUAGCAUAAUGAUUCCGCAUGGUUUCAUUAUUAAAGGAUUCCGGUAAAGGAUGGGGAUGCGUUCCAUUAGGUUGUUGGUGAGGUAACGGCCCACCAAGCCUUCGAUGGAUAGGGGUUCUGAAAGGAAGGUCCCCCACAUUGGAACUGAAACACGGUCCAAACUCCUACGGGAGGCAGCAGUGAGGAUUAUUGGUCAAUGGGCGCUAGCCUGAACCAGCCAAGUAGCGUGAAGGAUGAAGGCUCUAUGGGUCGUAAACUUCUUUUAUAUAAGAAUAAAGUGCAGUAUGUAUACUGUUUUGUAUGUAUUAUAUGAAUAAGGAUCGGCUAACUCCGUGCCAGCAGCCGCGGUAAUACGGAGGAUCCGAGCGUUAUCCGGAUUUAUUGGGUUUAAAGGGAGCGUAGGUGGACUGGUAAGUCAGUUGUGAAAGUUUGCAGCUCAACCGUAAAAUUGCAGUUGAUACUGUCAGUCUUGAGUACAGUAGAGGUGGGCGGAAUUCGUGGUGUAGCGGUGAAAUGCUUAGAUAUCACGAAGAACUCCGAUUGCGAAGGCAGCUCACUGGACUGCAACUGACACUGAUGCUCGAAAGUGUGGGUAUCAAACAGGAUUAGAUACCCUGGUAGUCCACACAGUAAACGAUGAAUACUCGCUGUUUGCGAUAUACAGUAAGCGGCCAAGCGAAAGCAUUAAGUAUUCCACCUGGGGAGUACGCCGGCAACGGUGAAACUCAAAGGAAUUGACGGGGGCCCGCACAAGCGGAGGAACAUGUGGUUUAAUUCGAUGAUACGCGAGGAACCUUACCCGGGCUUAAAUUGCAGUGGAAUGAUGUGGAAACAUGUCAGUGAGCAAUCACCGCUGUGAAGGUGCUGCAUGGUUGUCGUCAGCUCGUGCCGUGAGGUGUCGGCUUAAGUGCCAUAACGAGCGCAACCCUUAUCUUUAGUUACUAACAGGUUAUGCUGAGGACUCUGGAGAGACUGCCGUCGUAAGAUGUGAGGAAGGUGGGGAUGACGUCAAAUCAGCACGGCCCUUACGUCCGGGGCUACACACGUGUUACAAUGGGGGGUACAGAAGGCAGCUACCUGGUGACAGGAUGCUAAUCCCAAAAGCCUCUCUCAGUUCGGAUCGAAGUCUGCAACCCGACUUCGUGAAGCUGGAUUCGCUAGUAAUCGCGCAUCAGCCACGGCGCGGUGAAUACGUUCCCGGGCCUUGUACACACCGCCCGUCAAGCCAUGGGAGCCGGGGGUACCUGAAGUACGUAACCGCAAGGAUCGUCCUAGGGUAAAACUGGUGACUAGGGCU
rnacentral:rRNA from 1 species